CAGUGGACCUCCCUCUGAUUCUAUAUAUAUAUAUAUUAGAGCUAGACUGGAAUACUAUGGACGACAAAAGAUUCUUUUUACUAUCAAGUUUUUAAUCCUUAGAUGAGAAAUUAUAGGGUUAGGAUGAUAUUAAUCCUUAGGGUUGAGUGGUUCCCCCAGGGUUGAGCGGUCCCCAUUGGAUUAUAAUAUUUAAUCCAAUGGUUAGAAAUGAUAAAAGUAAUUAAUCCAAAAAUUAAAAACUUGAUAGCAAAAAAGGCUUUUUGCUAUCAAUAGCAUUCUAGUCUAUAUAUAGUAUUUUAUUUUUAUAAUAUAGAUAUAUUAUUAUAUAAUAAUUUAUUAUAUCAUUUACUAUUUAUUUUUAUAAAAUGUAAAAUAUAUAAAC
rnacentral:lncRNA from 1 species